AACCCAUGCAUCGGACAUGUUUGAAGUAAUUACUUAAAUUGUUCCCAAGCUUCAUACAACCUUUCAUCCUUUAUUUGCUAAAAAGAUGUGUUGUCAUUUCUAAGCUU
rfam:Gossypium arboreum cultivar AKA8401 contig_3481_7, whole genome shotgun sequence.